CCUACGGGAGGCAGCAGUGAGGAAUAUUGGUCAAUGGGCGCUAGCCUGAACCAGCCAAGUAGCGUGAAGGAUGACUGCCCUAUGGGUUGUAAACUUCUUUUAUAUGGGAAUAAAGUGCAGUAUGUAUACUGCUUUGCAUGUACCUUAUGAAUAAGGAUCGGCUAACUCCGUGCCAGCAGCCGCGGUAAUACGGAAGGUCCGGGCGUUAUCCGGAUUUAUUGGGUUUAAAGGGAGCGUAGGCCGGCUUUUAAGUCAGCUGUGAAAGUCCGCGGCUCAACCGUGGAAUUGCAGUUGAAACUGGAGGCCUGGAGUGCACACAGGGAGGCCGGAAUUCAUGGUGUAGCGGUGAAAUGCUUAGAUAUCAUGAAGAACUCCGAUCGCGAAGGCACGUGUCCGGGGUGCAACUGACGCUGAGGCUCGAAAGUGCGGGUAUCAAACAGGAUUAGAUACCCGAGUAGUC
rnacentral:rRNA from 1 species